GACGAACGCUGGCGGCGUGCUUAACACAUGCAAGUCGAACGGAAAGGCCCUGCUUUUGUGGGGUGCUCGAGUGGCGAACGGGUGAGUAACACGUGAGUAACCUGCCCUUGACUUUGGGAUAACUUCAGGAAACUGGGGCUAAUACCGGAUAGGAGCUCCUGCUGCAUGGUGGGGGUUGGAAAGUUUCGGCGGUUGGGGAUGGACUCGCGGCUUAUCAGCUUGUUGGUGGGGUAGUGGCUUACCAAGGCUUUGACGGGUAGCCGGCCUGAGAGGGUGACCGGCCACAUUGGGACUGAGAUACGGCGCAGACGCCUACGGGAGGCAGCAGUGGGGAAUAUUGCACAAUGGGCGGAAGCCUGAGGCAGCAACGCCGCGUGCGGGAUGACGGCCUUCGGGGUGUAAACCGCUUUCGCCUGUGACGAAGCGUGAGUGACGGUAAUGGGUAAAGAAGCACCGGCUAACUACGUG
rnacentral:rRNA from 1 species